rnacentral:lncRNA from 1 species
GGAACUUUAGAGGUCAGCUAAUCUAAUCUUUUUAUGAUGCACAAUUCACCAUCUAUUGACUACUUGCCUGCAAGGCGAUAUAUUGGGAACAUUUUCUCUGGCCUUCCUUCUGGGAUCUGAGAAGCAGAUUCCAAUCUGAGUGUCACUGUAAGACUGUGUGAAAAGAAAAAUGUGAUGGUCAAACUGCUGAUGUUUAAAUCCUGUCUCUGGCUGGACUUCUGUGUCAUUUUGGGGAGUUGUAUCGUCUAUGUUUUAUGGGGAAGAAUUAUGAUCCUUGACUAUUACACCCAAGAAAUCUUCAGAGGUUACCAAAAAGACAAUUAUGCUGAGAAUUUCUACAGAUCUGAGAGUGAAGAAAGUGAAGGUAGUAGGCAGAGGAGCUGUGCAAUCUCCUGCCAAGUGGGAAAAAUAAGGCAGAACUGCAGCAUGUCACUGGGAUACAAUUUUUCUGUUUUUCCUUUUUUUUCUCCCCCAGAGGGAAUGCUGAGAGUUAACUACCAUUAAAAUACUCUUCAAUAGCUUCUCCUUAGUAGGUUCUAAAUAUGAAAUUAAAGGUCUGUUUUCUAGAAGAAGGAGAUACUGAACAAAAGCAACCUGCCAGGGUACUGGACACAAUAGGGCUCUUGAUAUCAGGAGGAGUAUUUGAAUAUAGGAUUAAAGACUCCUUUUGAGGGCCUUUGCUUCUAGCAGAGUGUGCUGGCCAAAUUAAAUGUCUGUUUCCUACUUAAGUACAGGGCAGAUGACAACAUAUGUUUACCUACCUAAAUGACCCAUAUAGAAGACAUCCCCCAACCCCAUCCCGAUUGAUAUCAGUUAAUGUUAACAAGGAAAUACUAAAGCGAAACUGGUGAUAUUUACUUCCAUUUCUUGUUCUGCACUAUAGUGUCUUUUAAAAUAUGGCAAAUUAAUGUUAGGCAAUGCUUCAAGACUGAACUUUUAUCAAAGAAUGCUGUUUCUAUGGGAGUGAAAGAAAAACAUAAAUCCAUGAGUUUUUGAAAAAUGUAUAGCUAUGAGAGUUGGACCAUAAAGAAGGUUGAGUGCAGAAGAAUUGAUCCUUUUGAAUUGUGCUGGAGAAGAUUCUUCAGAGUCCAUUGGACUGCAAGGAGGUAAAACUAGUCCAUUCUAAAGGAAAUCAGUCCUGAAUAUGCAUUGAAAGGACUGAUUAUGAAGCUGAAGCUCCAAUAUUUUGGCCACCUGAUGUGAAGAGCCGACUCACUGGAAAAGACUCUGAUGCGGGGAAAAAUUGAGGGCAGGAGGAGAAGCAGGCAGCAGAGGAUGACAUGGUAAGAUAACAUCACUGACUAAAUGGACAUGAAAUUGAGCAAACUCUGGCAGAUAGUGAAAAACAGGGAAGCCUGGAGUGCUGCAGUCCAUGGAGUCACAAAGAAUUGAACGUGACUGAGUGACUGAACAACAACGACAACAAAAUUAACUCAUCCUUUGAGUUCCUAGCUGCUUUAGUUUAAAACACACACACACACACACAAUGCAUGUGUAUAAACAAAGAGAUACAGAUAGUUGACUUUGUAUUUAAUUUAUCCCAUGCAAGAUCCUAUUUGAUAAGGGUAUAAAAGCCAUAAAAUGCAAUCUUCACCCUCAUACCAUCAUACCACAGUGGCAUCCAUUAAAACAAAUAGUAGACAUAAUGAAAAUGAGCAGGACCCUAUGGGGACCUUUCAAAUACAAAAGUCCCUCAGUGUCCUCAAUUUCCUAUAUGUAAAAUAAUGCUUUAGUCUCUUAGCCCUUCUUUGAGUUUCAAAUAACAGAUCAAUGCAGUUACUAAUUAGGGAAGUGAGGAAACAUAGAAACAAAGGAAAAGCAAUCAAAUACAUGCUGACUUAAAGAAAUGCACAGUGUAAGAGUUGCAAGCUACGUUUUAUCUGGGGCAAAAUGAGGACUGCAGCCUGGGAGAUAGCCCUCAGAUAGCUCUGAGAAACAGCUCCAAAGAGGCAGGCAGAGGAAGGUCAGUACAUAAGUGAUUUCAGUGAAGAAGGAGUUCAUGCAAUCAAGCACACAUUUUGCAGUUUUUGCUAGUCACUAGAAGCAAAUGUCACCAUGAAGGAACUGAGUGCUCUUCUAGAUAUGAGAAGAUGAAAGAACUGGGCUCAUAAAAUCAGUUCCUGAAAAUAUCUGUCUGAAAACACAUUCUGCCACUUUUUGAGAGCACAGAGAGCCUAAUAUCUGAUCUCCACCUUGAACUCACUUUAGGACAUGUCGAAGGUCAGCAGUUUCAGCAGCACACGAUUUAAUCCUUCCAGAGGUGAACGGCAAGUGCCAAUUUGUAACUGACACAAGUAAAGUAAAGACAAUAGUUCAUUAAUAAAACAGAAUCCUAGUUCCUCUUCA